rnacentral:rRNA from 1 species
AAGAACCAACAGGGAUUGCCCUAGUAACGGCGAGUGAAGCGGCAACAGCUCAGAUUUGAAAUCUGGCCCAUUAGGGUCCGAGUUGUAAUCUGUAGAGGAUGCUUUUGGCGAGGUGCCUUCUAAGUCCCCUAGAACGGGGCGCCACAGAGGGUGAGAGCCCCGUACAGUUGGACACCGAACCUUUGUAAAGCUCCUUCGACGAGUCGAGUAGUUUGGGAAUGCUGCUCAAAAUGGGAGGUAUAUUUCUUCUAAAGCUAAAUACCGGCCAGAGACCGAUAGCGCACAAGUAGAGUGAUCGAAAGAUGAAAAGCACUUUGAAAAGAGGGUUAAAUAGCACGUGAAAUUGUUGAAAGGGAAGCGCUUGUGACCAGACUUGCGCCCGGUGAAUCAUCCAGCGUUCUCGCUGGUGCACUUUGCCGGGCUCAGGCCAGCAUCGGUUCUCCCAGGGGGAUAAAGGUCUCGGGAACGUAGCUCUCUUCGGGGAGUGUUAUAGCCCGUGGCAUAAUACCUUUGGGGGGACCGAGGACCGCGCUCUGCAAGGAUGCUGGCGUAAUGGUCAUCAGCGACCCGUCUUGAAACACGGACCAAGGAGUCAAGCAUUAGGGCGAGUCUUUGGGUGUAAAACCCGCAGGCGCAAUGAAAGUGAACGGAGGUGAGAGCUUCGGCGCAUCAUCGACCGAUCCUGAUGUUCUCGGAUGGAUUUGAGUAAGAGCCUUACCGCUUGGACCCGAAAGAUGGUGAACUAUGCCUGAAUAGGGUGAAGCCAGAGGAAACUCUGGUGGAGGCUCGCAGCGGUUCUGACGUGCAAAUCGAUCGUCAAAUUUGGGCAUGGGGGCGAAAGACUAAUCGA